ensembl:lncRNA
GCCACCUUAUAAGGACAAUAAAGCCCUCCCUACACCUACCCUAACCCUACCCAAUAUUUAUUUUCACAUUUUUAAUUAUUCCCUUCAAUUUUAUUGAAAUUAAAUGCCUUUCCGAUACGAUAUGUACGGAGCCCCUCUGGUCCCACUUUGUCAAAAAAACAAAAAAAAAAAACAAAAAAAAAAUUAUAAAAAAAUUAUAUGAAGAAGAAUUAUAAAGGACUAUGGAUAUGCAGCCUACAAGAUUUACAUUACUGUAUUAACAGAAUUGAAUUGAUUGUGAUGAACAGUACUAGUAAAUAAAUAGAAGCAGAACUGCAGCAAACUUUAUUACACUGAAUACUAAAAUAGAGAAUAUUGCACAGAAUGUGAAGUAUUACAUUGCACUACAGUACAGGGUCCAGUUUAAUAACAAAGGGUCCAUGUGUCAGACACUUCACUAUCUUGAGGCCACGAGUUAGUAUCUUGAGGCCACGAGUUACUUAUCUUGAGGCCACGAGUUAGUAUCUUGAGGCCACGAGUUACUUAUCUUGAGGCCACGACUUAGUAUCUUGAGGCCACGAGUUAGUAUCUUGAGGCCACGAGUUAGUAUCUUGAGGCCACAAGUUACUUAUCUUGAGGCCACGAGUUAGUAUCUUGAGGCCACGAGUUAGUAUCUUGAGGCCACAAGAUAAGUUUUUUUUUUUUUUUUUUUUACCAAAGUGGGACCAGAGGGGCUCCGUAGAUAUGAGAUUUGAAAAGGGAGAAAAAAAUGUCCGGCUAAAGGCGGAUGCGAACUCGGGUCGGUCGCGUCAAAAAGUACACACUUUAACCGCUACGCCAUUUCUCAGUCUUAACUUUCCUAAUCACAUGUUGGUGGGAGGAUAGCGUAAACAAGGCAGGCUAUUUGUAAUUUGUGUAAUUGGACACUCUGAUUCUUUUAACAUUAUAUCAAAUGUUGCAACAGCUGACAUGAGUCUUAUACACGUGUUCGUUUGUAAAUAAAGCCUAACAAAAUUUAAUCCACAGCACACACCUCUCAACAUUACGAUAUAAAACAGGACAAAAGCCUAUUUAAGUCCUCUCUGUAUAGCCUACCACUUUUAUACAUGCUGCAGCUACAUUUUUAUUUCCAUACUUUUGUAUUACUUCUGUAUAAAACAGUUUAAAAUCACCCAAAGACGCAGGACCUUUAUUAUACAACUCUUAGACAAAAUUGCGGAUGACAACAGUUUCCAAGCCAGGAUUGGUUAAAUAAAAUGUUUAAGGUGGGGCUCAACAAAUGUGUAUUUGCAUGCACAUUGUAGAUAUCUAUAAACAUAUUUUGACUAGCCAAAUUGUUAAUUCGAGAUAUCCACAUUGCAAUUACGCCUAGUCACAAGGCUAAAUGCCGAUAUCUCUAAAUAUAGUUCUUCCUAGUCAAAAAUCUGAUUGGGAUAUCCAUAAUUAAAUUGCAGAUAUCUUUAAAUAUGAUUUGCCUAGUCAAAAUUCCAAUUCAAGAUAUCUACAACUGUAAUUUGACUAGUCAUAAAUUAAUUGUAGAUAUCUACAAAUUAGAUUAGAUUAGAUUAGAUUCAACUGUAUUUUCAUUAUGCAGAGUACAAGUACAGAGCUAAUGAAAUGCAGUUAGCAUCUAACCAGAAGUGCAAGAAUAUAGUGUUUUAUAUACAUAUAAGUGCAGAGUAAGUGAAGCUAUGAUUUACAGAAUGUACAGUGGAGUUGCUGUAUACAGGAUUGAGCAGAGUAUGUACAGAAUUUGAAUAGGAAUGCAAUGUAGGGAUUAUAUGUAUGAAGAGCAGCAAUGUAGGGUUAUAUGCACAUUAUGAACAGCAGCAAUGUAAGAACAGUAGAAAUAAAUACAGUUGGAUGAGUCUGCAAUAGUAUUGUUAAACAAUGUAUUCUAUGCAAAGUAAUCAGUAGUGUAAUAAUAUUUUUAUAGAAAUAAUUUACUGUGCUAUGUACAGUAACAACGUUAGAUAGUUUACAGUGUGAUAGCUUGAACAAUGUGUAGUCUGUGCAAAAUAUGAGUAGUGCAAAUACAUGUAUGUAAAGUACUGUGACCAGUGCAGUAAGAAAGCAGGUGCAGGUUAGAUUGGUGGUGUUGAGUUCAGAAGUGUCACAGCCUCGGGGAAGAAGCUCUUCCUGAGCCUACUAGUAUGAGAGCAUAGACUCCUGUAACACCUGCGGGAUGGAAGGAGGGUGAAAAGUCCAUAGUUAAAGUGAGCGGCAUCCUUGAUGAUGUUCCUUGCCCUGCACAGGCAGCGCUUAUGAUAAAUGUUCUCAAUGGUCGUUAACUGAGUGCCGGUAAUCCGUUGAGCUGUUUUCACUACCCGCUGGAGUGCUUUGCGGUCAGAUGCGGAGCAAUUGCUGUACCACACUGAGAUGCAAAUUGUGAGUAUGCUCUCAAUGGUACAGCAGUAGAAUUCCACAAGGAUCCUCGCACUCAGGUGAACAUUCUUAAGGCUCCGU